AUCUUCACUCUCACAAGCCUUCAUUCUCAGAUCCCAAAUUGAACCCCUAUCACUCUCACGAAAAUCAUUCUCAGAUCCCCAAUUGAAUCCCUCUCAAUCUCAUGAAAAUCAUUCUCAUAUCCCUAAUUGAAUCUCAGAUCCCUAAUCGAAUCCCUCUCACUCUCACGAAAAUCAUUCUCGAACCCUAAUCUGUAAGCUUAUUCUCGAAUCCCUCUCACUCACGAAGCCUCAAGAACCCUAAUCUGUAAGAAGAAGAAGUAGCGUGCUUUGUUCGCGUGAGAAGAAGAAACGGAAAAGUAUUCGUCGAAAUUUUCAGAUACUUCAUUUUCUAUUUUCGAAAUUCAACUUUUUCCUUUCGAAGUAAACAUGGUAAUCUAGGUAUAUUUAUUUUGGCCGUUGUUAGUUCUUUUUGCAAGAUUGUAUUGCAUAAUUUUUCUUCUACAUACAGAAGUGGCUCUUCUCUGUAGGCGCUGUUCCAACCUCUACAGUCCAAAACAUCAAGUCGACCGGUUGGUCUCCUUGUAUGGCUUCUUCAGUAGUUACUAGAAGAGCUACAUAUUCUGCUGGGUUUGUUUUAUUUAUUGGUUCAGCACAUUGCAUAUUUGUCAGGAAAUAAUUUAUGGAAUGAAUUGUGAAUGCAAUUGUUGUUACAUCAAUGAAAACGUAGUUAUGGAUGUUACAUUAAUGAACCAGGUUUUCUAAUUUGAUCAAAUUUUGUGAAAUUUACUUCCAGAACUUUUUUUUUAUUGUUAUACUAUGUAUACAAUUUAUCCAUAAAACUUUGUUAUUUUCAUUACUUUGUAAUUAUAAAUCUAUACAGGUAGUGGAAUAAAGUUUAAGUGCUAAUACUUAUGUUGUCUAUUCUAUGCAGGUAGUGGAUGCCUCUUUGUAAAUGCUAAUAAAAGUGUAAAUGCUUGUAUUCUUAACAAAGGUAAGAAGACAUGUGGUUUCUUGUUUGAAUGGGGCAAAGGAAAGACAAGGACUAGAUAGGCGAGUUUCUCUAGUAUGUCAUAUGCUCAUGCUUUCAUACAGCUACAAUUACAAGUUUGUUUAAGAUACUUGUUGAAGAAGGAAACUAAGUUAUUAAUAUGCUUAACUAAGAAGGUUAACCAAAAAAGGCUUUGGUUAGGAAGGUUGAUUGAGAUUGCGAAUCAAGAACGAUCUAAAAGUGCUACAAGUAUGAUUGGAUAGUUUCUACUUUAAGGUGUGGUGUCAAGAAUCUCUAUGUUGAGGGGUUGGUGCUAUUUGGUUUGUACUUGCAAUUUUUUAUUUGCUCCAAUAUGAAAUGUUUAACUUGUCUAUUGUUGGAAUUGGGUGUUUAUAUGAUGUGUUGAUUUUUCUGCCUUUAGGUAUCAAUCAUAGGAAAAGAGAUAUUGUGUUUUAAUUAGUAUGAAUAAGUUGAUAUAGUUGAUCAUGAUAUUUGUAUGAAGGUUUUUUCCUCUAUAAUCACAUUACUCAAGCUGAGCUUGACAUUUAUUGGACUCUCUUUUGAUUCUGAAUUACUUAAAUCAUUGCUUAAAACCGACGUUUAUCGUAACUAAAAAAACUGGAAAAUCAAACAUACCACUAUUGAUAUUUAGUUUAACAGUCGU